CGGAGCGUAGCGCAGUCCGGUAGCGCACUAUUCUGGGGGGAUAGGGGUCGCUGGUUCGAAUCCAGUCGCUCCGACCA
rnacentral:tRNA from 1 species